GGUGAAGGUAUUCGCCCCCCACGGCAACGAUGCGUAGCCGGCCUGGGAGGGUGAUCGGCCACACUGGGACUGAGACCCGGCCCAGACUCCUACCGGAGGCAGCAGUACGGAAUCUUCCGCAAUGGACGAAAGUCGGACGGAGCAACGCCGCGGGAGUGAUGAAGGUUUUCGGAUCGUAAAGCUCUGUUGUUAGGGAAGAACAAGUUCCGUUCGAAUAGGGCGGUACCUUGACGGUACCUAACCAGAAAGCCACGGCUAACUACGUGCCAGCAGCCGCGGUAAUACGUAGGUGGCAAGCGUUGUCCGGAAUUAUUGGGCGUAAAGGGCUCGCAGGCGGUUCCUUAAGUCUGAUGUGAAAGCCCCCGGCUCAACCGGGGAGGGUCAUUGGAAACUGGGGAACUUGAGUGCAGAAGAGGAGAGUGGAAUUCCACGUGUAGCGGUGAAAUGCGUAGAGAUGUGGAGGAACACCAGUGGCGAAGGCGACUCUCUGGUCUGUAACUGACGCUGAGGAGCGAAAGCGUGGGGAGCGAACAGGAUUAGAUACCCUGGUAGUCCACGCCGUAAACGAUGAGUGCUAAGUGUUAGGGGGUUUCCGCCCCUUAGUGCUGCAGCUAACGCAUUAAGCACUCCGCCUGGGGAGUACGGUCGCAAGACUGAAACUCAAAGGAAUUGACGGGGGCCCGCACAAGCGGUGGAGCAUGUGGUUUAAUUCGAAGCAACGCGAAGAACCUUACCAGGGUCUUGACAUCCUCUGACAAUCCUAGAGAUAGGACGUCCUCCUUCGGGGGCAGAGUGACAGGUGGUGCAUGGUUGUCGUCAGCCUCGUGUCGUGAGAUGUUGGGUUAAGUCCCGCAACGAGCGCAACCCUUGAUCCUAGUUGCCAGCCAUUCAGUUGGGCACUCUAAGGUGACUGCCCGUGACCAACCCGCGGAAGGUGGGGAUGACGUCAAAUCAUCAUGCCCCUUAUGACCUGGCCUACCCCCGUGCUCCAUUGGACGGAACAAAGGGCACCGAAACCGCGGGGUUAGCCCAUUCCCACAAA
rnacentral:rRNA from 1 species